rnacentral:lncRNA from 1 species
GUACACAUGCUUUUUAAAUAAGAUCUCAUCUCUGAGUUAGAGUAAACUGUCAAGACUUAAAACUUACUUACUUUACCUUCACCAUGGGACUUAUAACCGUCACAUCUAUCUUGAGUAGUUAAAAGAUAGAACAGUCUUGUCAAGUGCCAUGUCUCUUAUUCUUGAUCAGCUAUAGCUCUGGUGCUUUUGCAGAUUUUCAAAUAACACUCAGAGAUUCCUUGUAUGAUUCUCUCAGAUCUCUCUUUUGUGGUAUUUCUGGAUCCUUACCAAGGCAGUGAUGGUAUAUGCCUUCUCUCAAGAUAUGUAGUAUUUGUGGUAUAAAGCAUAGUGACAUUACCUUCUCUCUCACCCUACUCUAAUAAGGCUUUAAUAUCUGGAGCUUAUAGGUGGGAGAUAAAAUAUACAUACUUACAAGACAUUUAUUGUAUAGUCAAACCAUGGAUCCAAAGUAACAAGUCAAUAAGUUUAAUCAAGAUGUGCAUGUGUGGCGAAUGAAUGGUGUAUGGUGAUGAUGGUGAUAACAAUGGUGAAAACAAUGGUGAUGGAAGCCUAAUUCUACUUUUGCUCUUUUGAGGGGAUACAUACCUUUCUUGCUUUUUGAAACUUUGUGAGGAGAAUGAGAUGCUCUAUAUAUUUUUUUUCUUUUCUCUCAGGUGGGUAUCUUGUACCCCUAAUUCUACUGUCGGACACUUGUCCAUUUUUACCACUCGUCUCACUUUUUCUUUUCUUUCGAGGUUCCGAGCACUUGCUCCUUUUUAUUUCCUCGUAUCUCUUUUUUUUUCAGAGCACUCAUCUCUUGAAAUAAUAUAGCAAGUGGUAGUAACAAGAUAACUUGAGCAUUUAUUUCACAAAGGAAAAACAGAAAUAUUUUUGGCUAUUCUCUCCCGGAUUAGGAGUAGAAUAUUUUUGGAUGGUUCUGGAGAUGGAAAUGAGUGGAUAUAUGUGGAUGGUACUUCCGGAGUAGAAGUAGCAUAUAUGAGUGAACGUGCAAGUGAAAUCUUGAUUUAACCACAUGAAGCUCCUAAGGGUCUACACAGCUUGACCACACUCAAUGCUCAUAAGCAGUAAAUAGUAAAUGUGUGGCUCAAAGUCUAGCUAGCAUGUAUAUAUGGCUGUGGUAGGAAUUUAAACUCUCAUCAUACAGGAACUCAUCAUGCAAUAUUUUAAAGAUUUUCAAAGAUAAAAUUCUCCAGAAUUCUAGCAUCUCUAGAAACAGAUAAAUAGCAGCUCAACCUUCCCAUAUCGUAUCCGUUAACAACUUAGACUUCAGAUCAAGUUUUCAUCCCACAAGUUUAGGUCUAGAGCAAGCUUUAAAUUAUAACAGUUAUGUCUAAACUUGAGAGAGAACUUAAAAUGUGCAAAUUAGGCAGAGCAACUAUUCAUCAUAUCCAUGCUUGAGUUUUAUUUAGAUACAGAUUAGCAUAGCCACUUUAUUUAUUUAUUAAACACACUAAGCAAAAGAUAUAUAUAUAUAUAUAUAAGCAUAAAAUCCUUAUUUGGUUUUUCAUAGUUAUGUAUAUUUAUAUUCUAAAAUAAUAUAAGUAUAAAGAUAGAUAGAAAUACUUAUCGAGAUAAAUGGGGGUGCUCUCCCCCAAGCUGAAUUUUGACGUAAUUUCCCUUGAUGUAGCUAGCAGGUGGCAGAGGUAUAUUUGAAAGUCAGCAGCAUUUUGACAGCGAUUAGAAUGUCCUCCGUCUGCUAGUCUUCUUGAUUCUUAAAUUCUGUGGAGCUCAAAUAGACAACAAAGCUUGUGGAACUUGAUUAAGUGUUAGCAUAAAUAUCUAGCCUUUAUCAUGUUGAGACUCCUUAAUAAAUAUUACUCUCUGUUUUUAUAUUUUCAUUUUUAUAGAGCAGAAAAGAAAUAUUUAUUUUAUUUUUAUGCCACCACAGUGAAUGUACUUAUGGGUUUUAUGCCACUCGUCUACUCACAUGGGGCUUACUGUUUUUUCACAUUUUUAUUUUCUUUUUAGGAUAACACGAACAUGAUUAACUAAGUAAGCUAGUUGAAAUAAUUGAAAGGGAAAGGAUAACUACCAAGUUUACCUCUUGGCAAGGCGUUCGGUGUUUUUAAGUCCUCCGAACGGGACUCUCCGUUUUCUUCAAUUGUCCUGGGAUUCGUUGGGUGGCGGAGUCAGUACUUCCGGCAGCGCCUCCUCUUCAUGUAUAGUUAUCUUCUCUUUCCAUACCUGACUCGGUGCUACGGUCUCCUGUGGAUAAUUCUGUUUAAACUCUACGUCUUCUGACCUUAUCACUUCUCCUUCAUAGUCUGCCCAUCCGUCCUUGAUGAUUUGCAUCCUCUGGUUGUGGUUGCGUCGUUUCCUUACCUGCUUAGAUUCUUCAACGAUAUAGUUAGGGUCAGUAAAAUAACGGCGUACCUUCUCUGAGGGGAAGUGCAUAUGGACUUCUCCGGUUUCAAUGUAGAUAAUUGCUUUAACGGUGCUGAGGAACGGUCUUCCAAGGAUGAUGGGUGGAUCGUAUUCAUCUUCUCCCAUGUCAAUAACCUGAAUUUCUGUGUAGACAAAGUGAUCGUCUAUUUUGACUGGGACAUCAGUUACUGUUCCUUUAACUUCUCGAAAUGUCUGAUCUGCCAUCUGGAGUUGAAUGUAUGUUGGUCUUAGGGGCAUGGUUCCGAACAAGAGCCGAUAGGUGACUGCGGCCAUUAUGUUGACGCCUGAUCCGGUGUCACAAGUUGCCUUGUAGAAGUUGUAUCCAUUUAUGGAGCAGUAGAUGCUUGGCAUUCCUGAGUCGUCCUUCUUGGUCAAAAACGGUGACUUGAGUUGAUGAUCUUGGCCUCCAUGAAUUGCAGUGACCAUCUUAGCUGACUCGGUCCACACUAGCUUGUUCCUGUUCCUCCUGUUGGUCCUCUUCCUUGAUUCACGUCUGGAUUGAUCUGGGAUUUGUGUAGCCUUGUUCCUGAAGAAAAAUGUUUCCUUCCUCCCUUUGAUGUAGAAACUGAUCUUGGCAGCACUAGCGUAGAUGAUAGCUCCUGUGGUGUUCAAGAAUGGCCUCCCUAGGAUGAUAGGUGCCCUCUCAUCAUUACCGGUCUCUACCACUACGAAGUCGGCUAGAGCAUAUAAGGUACCAACUCGGACACAAAGGUUCUUCACUAUUCCUUUUGGAAAAGUUAUCGUCUGAUCUGCAAACUGCAAACACAUGGUUGUCUCUAAUAAAGGAUAUGUAAAGAAUUUUUCAUAGAGUACCCUGGGUAUAAUGUUGACGCUGGAGCCAAAGUCACAGAGUGCUUCUGGGACGUCCACCAUGCCGAUAGAGAUCGGGAUGACGGGGCGUCUUGGAUCUCCUCUCUUGACCGACAGAAGGUCAGUAGUGAAUUCAGUGACGGGGUUACUCCAAUUACCUGCAUCAAACAUGUCUACAAGAUUUGCAGAUUCUAAUCCUUCCGGUUGUGAUGGUAUACCGGGGUUAGUAACAGGAACAGCAUCAGCUAUUUGAUUUAACUGAGAUUCAAUUAUUUUAUUAAAUCUAAUUUGAUUCUUGAUGGUAGUAGAGAAAUUAUCCAUUCUAUUAUUUAUAUUUUCUAGCAUUUUAUCAUUAGAUGCCAAUUUUUUAGAUAGGUUAUCCAUUAGCUUUCCUUGAUUAGACACUAACUCUCUCAGAGGUGGAAAAUUAUUAUUAUUGUUGUAAGAAUUGUUACCUUGAUAAUUACCUGAGUAGUUAGGCCUCUGUUGAUUCCAACCUUGAUUUUGUUGAGGACGGUUGUAGUAGUAGUAGUAGUUGUUGAUGUAGUUCACAUCCUCAAGUAUCUCAGGGCAGUGAUUGCCUGAGUGUCCAGUGUCUCCACACUCCUCACAAGUCAUGUGAGAAUCGUAGAUGUGCAUCACUUCCUUCUUAUCUCCAGCUCUAUCGUCGAGCUUCUUCAUGAGCAGGUCUAGCUUUGCAGACAGCAUGUCUACCUCCUUGAGCUGAUGCAUACCUCCACCUCUCUUGCGUGUCUGGGUCCUCUCUUCAUUCCAGCUUUGAUUGGACGCCAUCUUCUCCACAAGAGCUGUGGCUUGUGGUAUAGUAAGUAAUAAGAAUGCUCCUCUAGCUGCAGCAUCCAUGGUUUCUUGGGCACUGUUGCCGAGCCCAUGAUAAAAUGUCUGCAUCAGUAGCCAACUCUCCAUUCCAUGAUGGGGACAUUCUAGGAUGUAAUCUUGAAAGCGCUCCCAUGCUUCUGGAACAGAUUCAUCAUUUUGUUGCUGAAAACUUGUAAUCUUCCCACGAAGAGCAUUGGACUUGCAGAUGGGAAAGAACUUAGCCACGAAGUUUGUUGAGCAGAGUGCCCACGUAGUAUUCUUCUCCUUUGUAGCGUAGAACCACUGCUUCGCUCUUCCUAACAGUGAGAAUGGGAAGAGGCGAAGUAGUAUAGCAUCUUUGGAAACUCCUGAUAUGGUGAAUGUGUUGCAAAUCUCCAGGAAGUGUUGUAGAUGAGCACUAGCAUCUUCGUGUGCCUUCCCACAGAACUGGUUGGAUUGCACCAUGUUGAUAAGGCCAGGCUUGAGCUCAAAGUUGCCAUCGAUCUCUGCAGCAGGUCCAGUGCGGAUGUUGUCCGUAGUGGGAGCUGAGAACUCGCGGAUUGAUUUGUUCGCCAUGGCCUCGAACUCUGAAGACAAGUUCCGGUGAUCUUCUUGAUUGGAUGAAGCUUCUUGCUGAAGUGUUGAUGAUCUCUUCUUGAGCUUGGCUCUCGUCUUCUUGAAUAAUGCUUCGGGAUUGUCAACAAAAUUUCCUGGAAGAUGUCUUCUAUUCAUACAUUCCCCUGCAUAAGAUAAAAUAGAAAAAUAUCGGGGUAAAACUGUAUGAGAGAAUAGAUAAGCUCAAUCAUAUUAGUGAUGCGAAUGAUAACUCAAAAUCUUUUAUUCCAUUCUUGAUUAGUAAUCAACCUUCCCCGGCAACGGUGCCAAAAAUGCUUGUUGGGUAUUCUUAACAUCAUUACCAAAAGUAGACUAAGUUCUCUAAAUCUAGUAACGGUGCCAAAAAUGCCAAACCUAUCCCUCACACCACUUAAGCCAAAUUGUCAUCCCCAGCAUGACAUGAGAGACGCGGUAUUGAAAUAUGCAAUUGCUCUUCUAAAUAAAUAAUGAAUGGGAUCUGCAAGCGCACAGAUUAAUACUGAUGUAGCAUUUUAACCGAGAAGUAUUCCAGGUAUCGUUAUUUAUAUUUUUACCACUGGGAAGGGAUUAGCAAUCAUCAAUAGUGAUUACAGAAUAGAAUAUGAGAUUGAGCAUCUAUCAUUGCAUGUAUAAUUGAGAACAUUUAUCUAACUCUUCAUACAAGGAUAAGUGUCACAUAAAAGAUAUAUGAAUUAAUGAAUAGUGACAAAGGUAAUUAAUCUGAUUAGCCACAUAUAAAUAUGAUAAGCACCUCAAUUAGAUACUCUAGAAAGUCAUUAGCAUGGUAUUAGAACGAACUACAAGAAUAUUCCCUAAGUUAUUCUUAACUAUAUAGUCUAGCAUAUCAUAGUUAGUGCAAGCAUACUUAGCAAUCAUUGCGAGACAAGACUACGCCCAUGCAUAGUGAUAUUAGCAAGGAAUAUGAGAAACAUAGCAAUCACUCCCCUGUAAUAAUGUUGCUCUGCUAGCCCAAUACACGAGAGGAGGACUAUAUAAGAAUCAAUGAAGCUGUCACUAUCACGAACUACCCCACGAUCUGGCAUAUUGGGUACAAUCGCAGAUAAAUACGGUAUAAGCACCACGCCUACACAAUAUCUAUCAUUUACCCAUGGAUCCGAUGGAUAAACGCUAUACGAUCCUAAGCAUGUAUAUAAAUCCAAUCUAACUAAGCCAAGUACAUAACUUUGAUAAACUAAGAACAAUAUAAUCUUGAAUAUAAGCAAGUAGAGCAAAGUCAUAAGCAAUAUAUUGAAGUAGAACAAAGUCAUAUUCAUAAUAUUGAAGAACAAAGAUAAUUAGAAAGUAAUUAGAAGCACAAUUAGAGAAUUACCAAGAAUCCUCUUGAUAGAUCCGGAAACCAAUCGAAGAUUGACUCCUUCUAGUUCUAAUCCUAUGUAGCUAUGCUAAUCUAGAUAUCUAAUUGAUGUGGUGGCUCUAAUCUUGAUCAGAGGCUUCUUCUCUCUUGAGAAUAAUGAAUUAGUGUUGAGAGGCUCUCUCCUCCAGGGGCCAGGGGGUCUGGUUUUAUAGUCCGUUCAAGUGAAUAUGGGCCGUUGGAUCAAACCGACAUAGAUUGUAUGGUUUAGAUUCAUCCUUUAGGUCGGUGGAGACACUACAAGAAAUCUGUUAAUCCGUGACGGAUUCUCAGUGAUAGAUUAUGAGACCGUCAUUGAUAGGCAUAAUCUGUGACGGUAUUCUUAUUUCGAUGUGCAUGAAUGGAUAUUCUCGGCCCGCUAACUUGUGACGGUUUUAUCUUAGACCGUCAUGGUGUAUAAUUUUAAAUUUGUCAUUCUAGUGAGCCCAAAGCAAUAGGCCCUUUAUCAUUUAUAUAUUUUUUUGCGAAAGAACCCUUUAUCAUUUAUAUAGUACAAAGAAAAAUAAAAAAUAUGAUUGCAAAAAGAAUUUAUAUAGUGCAUAUAUAAUAUUGUGCAAAAGAGAGCCUUUUUCAAAUUAUUUGAACUAAAUAAUUUUGUUACUUUUUUGUGUGCAUAUGGUUAAAUUAAAAAUAUUGUGCAUAUAUAGUGCGGAUGGAGAAAAAUUCUAUAAAACUGGAAAAAAAAUUAUAGCAUUCUGGAAUUGAAUCCGUCGCUGUGCAGAAAAGCCCAUAUGGUUCGGCAUCCCAUCGCUGUGCAGAAAAAAAAAGGUUUGCAGGAAAAAAAAUAGUGCACCCAAUGGGUUUCGAACCCAGCACCUUGCAAGUCUUUAGACCCAACCUUACCAAUAGACUAGUUGUUCAAUUGUGCACAAACUUGAUUCUUUCUUCCCUUUGUUCUGUAUAUGUACGAGUAAGUUUCCUUCAACCAGCACCCGACACCCAGUCGAGAGUUCAUUCACGGACUCAAGUUCGACACUGACGCCGACGGCGAGAUUAGGAGGGAGCCGCGUUGCCGCUGCCCACCAUUGCUGCGCCGUCCAGCAAUGUCACCUCCUCGCUUGCCGCAUCAUCCCGCAUCACCGCUGCACACCAUUCAGGCAGCGACAUCACACAUCACCGCCGUCGUCCAAAGCCAUCCGUAGCUCUGCAGCCGGCGCCCUCCAUUGCCACACCGACGAGAGAUGCCGAGUGCGGCCAUGCGUCACCUGGUGAUAGAUCCAACUGUUGAGCGGACUCCUACAACCUCGAGCACGCCUGAAAUCGUCAAUCGCUGAGCACCUACCUCCUGCUUGAGGAGAUCCCGAUCUGUCUGACCUAACACCUACCAACAGCCAAGGUGUAUCUCUUCUAUUUUUUUGUUGAUUUUGUUGGAUAUAGCAUUUGAAUUGGCAUGAACGCGCGGCCUCUGAUUUGGCUUCUCCCGCGUAGCCUUUGUUUUCACUGAAAAAGACCCGCCGCUUUUCCCUCCACGGGCGACAACAAAUUUUUCGGAGUGCGAAUUGACUCUACUAUCCAUAUUCUGCACUUCUAUCAGGCUAACAUAUCAGGGGUAGUAUGGUAUUUGUUGUGCCAUCCUUCCAUCCAAAUAUAAGGUCAGCAGCAACCCUAAAUCCCCAAUUUCCAUCUCAGCCGCCACCAGCCACCACUCCACAGUCCACAGCCACCCAUCUGCUACGACCGCCUGGGCUCCUGCAUCUCAGACCGCAGCACAUCAGCGGUGCGCUGCAUCAAGCUCCUGCGCUCCUGCGCUCCUGCCUCGAGGGCCGUUGACGUCGCCCACCGCCACGGGUCCUGCCUCCAGCCGUCGACGUUGCCGCCCGCCUGGUUGCCCGCCGCCGGGUCCAUCACCCGCCGCCAGGGCUCCUUCCUCCAAGAGCGUUGCCGCCAGGUUCGUCACCCGCCUGCAAGAGCGCUGCCACCACCUUCGUUGCCUCCAAGAACGGCACCACCAUCAUCGCUGCCUCAAAGAACAUUUACUGAUGUCGACGAAGUGUGGUUCAAAGAAAGCACAAGGGCGUCGUCGGAUACCUGGUAUAGUGUUGCUUACUUCAUCUCAUUAUUGAAUAUUUACUGUCUCUGUCUGUGUUCAUGUUUGUGGUUGAUUGGUGUGGGGAUCCAAUAUACAAGGUGUUUUGUCAGACUGGCUUAAGCAAUCUAACUCUAUACAAAUAGCAUCCAGACUGUGCAGAUGGUCAUGAUAAAAAAAUACAUUCUGAGAUUGCUUUUAAUCGGGUUGUUAAUUGUUGUUGUGUUUAGUGACGGAUUUGACCAACCGAGGAGACCAAGCCUUCACUGAAGUACUAAUUAGUAUUUACACUAGUUAUUUAUGAUUGUAGUGAUGUAGUUUUGGGAGUGCUAUUUUGGGUUCUGUGAUUUUGUUGUUCCAUAACUUAGUACUGCUACAUGAACCUUCACCGAAAAACUAAGUAUCCAAACUAAUUAUUUAAUGAUUGCAGUGAGGUAUUUUACGAGAGCUAUUUUGGGUUCUGUGAUUUUACCUAGCCACCAACUUAGUGCGAUUACACUAACCUUCAAUGAAGUACUAAUUAGUAUUCACACUAAUGAUUUAACUGAUUGUAGUGAGCUAUUUUUAGGAGUGCUAUUUUGGUCAUGAACUAUCUAAUAUUAUUAAUAUGCUGGUCUUGUUUUUUGUCAUCUUAGAACCGGCGCUGCAUCCAUAUCAAUUGGUGCGCUUGAGAGAAUGCAUGAAGAACCAUGCAAGGUUGAAGGAACUUGGACUUCCUGAUCAUUACUACAACCGAGUUUUGGCAGAAGAUGUUGCUGGUCAUUCUGACAAAAAUCGAAGUGAAGCCAUUCAUUCUGACAAGUAUGAUCAUGGAGACUCCGAGUCUGAGUAUGAUCCUUUACAGGAUGAUAUUGGUGAAGGAGGUUUGAUUGAUGAUGACAAUGCUAAGGUGCAAAUUCCUCCAUCUGGUCAAGUCUUGUUGUUUUUCUUCCUAAUUCAAUAUAACUCUCUAAUACUAUGCUGACUAAUCCAUGCUUUAAUUUCUAGCAGUGCUCUAAGGAGAAGACUUGCAAGUUCGAUCAAGUUAAUUCAUGCAUGAUGCUACAUAUCUUUUGCUACUACAUGUAUUUUGCUGCUGCUAACUUGUGUCAAGUCAAUUUUGACCAACUUAAGCUAUAAAUGCAUGCAUUCUACUGCUGCUUGCAUUUUGUUGUUGCUGCUAUAUGUAUGUAUUUUUCUGCUGCAGCAUGCAUUAAGCUGCUGGACUUGUAUGCAUUGCUUGGAAUCUCUACUUAUUGUUGACUUGUGCCAUCUUAAACUACAAGGUGUAUGCACUUUGUAUGUUAACUGAUGUAAUAUGAUGGAUGAAAAUUCAUGUGAUAUAUAUGAUAUUAGAUUGAAAAAAUGAAAUUUUUAUUUGAUGUGCUGCUGAAAUUAGUAGUUAUAUGGGCUGUAUAUAUGGACUGUAUGUACGAAAUUGGACCCUGUAUAUGGGUUGAAUGUGAUGUAGAGUGGGCUGAAAAGGGCAAUAAAAAUUGGUGGCGAAUUUGGGCUGCAUAGUUGCUAAAAAUGGGUUAUAGAGUUGCUGAAAAUGGGCCGCCAAAAAUGGCUGAAGAGGAGCUAUGAAAAUGCUUAAAUUGGGCUAAAAUGUGGCCCAUCUUUGAUUUUGGCCUAUUGAAAAAUGGGCUGAAUCAGUGUCCAUGUCAUCAUCCAUGUAAGCAACCAUGAUGAUGUGGCAAUCAAUCCGUGACAGUUAUUUUUGGUCACAGAAAAUGGACUUGGGCUGGGCUAACUAGGCCUCGGGCUAUAUUGUGACGGUUUAAAACCGUCACUGAUUGCGUUAAUCUGUGAUGGAUUUCGAUAAACCAUCACGAGAGUCAAUCCAUGACGCUCAAUCUAUGACGUUCUCUGAAACCAUCACAAAUACUGGAUAGUGACGGUUUUUUGGUAAUCCGUGACGGAUUUUUUUGUCAUGGAUUAACAGGUUCCUUGUAGUGAGAUCUCCCACGAAGCAGAGUCCUGAUUGGACUCAGGGAGGGGGCGGGCGCCCAGGGGAACAAGGCGGGCGCCCUGCCUCUGGCCCCGUUUCGCCUCCGCUUCGGUCUCGUGGCUUCUGGAGUCUUCUAGAUGUAAGAUAAUUGCGCGGCACGUUAAUAUCUCUAUGUAAUCCCAAUGUGUGGGCCUUUCUUCCGUAUUUCCUGAUAACCCCCUGCAGAAAUAGACAAACACCAAAACUCGUGGAAUUCUGUCAGAUAAAACCCUAAGUCUAGAUGUUGAUUUCAUUUGGAUCCUUUUGUUUAUUUAUUUGAUAAUUAAAUUUGAUACUUAAGGACCAUCAACACUGGCUCAAUUCUAGGAUCCUAAGGCAACACAUUCAAGUCCAUCUCGACCCUUAGAUCACACUUGUGUUUCUGUUCAAGGGGUGAAAGAUGGAGGUACAUGGAUCCAUGGACCCACCAGAAGAACCAGACCGAAGAUGAACACAAGACACACUCCAUGAUAGAUGGAGACAGCAAUGGAGCAAGGCUGGUGGGCCCACCUCACCAAAUCUCGGUCGGCCGACCGGCCUUUGGUGGGUCCCACCUGCCAGCUCCACUCCUCCGACCUCCAGGACCUUAUAGAAGGCUCAGGGUGGCCCCACCUCACAAAAUAAUAGGUCGACCGACCUAUGAUGUGGGCCCACCUAAGGUCGGUUACACCACCGACUUUGGCAAUUGUUGGCAUUUCUUAGCGUCACUACUAAAAAUAGACCAUAGAUCCGUCCUUAGCAAUGACACCAGAAAUGUCGGGUGUUGGCAUACCGUAACUAUCGCUACAUCAGAGAGAUAACCCAAGGCAACUCGAGGGCGCCGACCUUAGCAGUGCAGUCUGGUAACAAUGAUUAGGAAUGCCGGAUUGGCUUUCCUAACCAUCCUUACUUGCGAUAUGCAAAGCUAUGGCACUACGCUUGAAAGUGCACAAACAUUACAAUCUUAAGUAACGGUACUUAGGUACGCCAAUCGAUAGUUCAUGAAUGAAGAAGUAAUAUAACUGCAAGCGGACAGAACUAUCAUUGUAGCAUUUAAACCCGUGAGUAUUGAAGGGUGUCGAAUUUAUAAUUCCCGUAGGAAGGCAAAAGGAUCAAACAUGGUGUAAACAUGAUUACUUAUUGAAUGCUUGGUAGACAUAGAGUAAACAGGAAUACACAUGAUAUUCAAGAUAGUGGACAUACAUUGGGUCAACCUCAAGGAUAAAAUAGAAGAGAAAUAAUAAAUAAAGAAUAAAGAAAUAAAUCUACUUGAGCAGGCAUGGGUCACAUAUAACUAUGCAUAGAACUGUUAGCAGAUCAUCUAAUUAGCAAUAAAUAGAGUUAGAACUAAGCCUGAGAUGAGGGGAGAUCCUUGCAGCUGGAUACCCAGCCGAUAGAGACUUUACAGAACUCCUAUCAGAAUACCUCAUCGUGGGGGAAUGCAAAGGAUGACAGAGAUGUCACUACCCCGCCACCUACCCCUCUACCCGAAAGAUACCCGCACAUCCAUUGAUUCCCACAUACCUGAACAUUCACGUAAUUGGAAACAACUCCUAACCCCCACGGGCCCCACCCCUUCGGAGUGACAGGCUAGUCUAAGAGCAACCAUCACAACACAGUGAACCAUCAUCCCAUUCCUAAUUCUGAUCCUAAUCAUACUAAUCUGAUGAACAAUGAAGAACAAUGAUGAACAUAUCAAGAACAUAGUAGAAGAACUAAGAACUAGGUCAUAUACUAUGAACAUGAUAAGAACACAAUCAUACUCUAGUUCAUAUGCAUAAUCAUAUAAAGAUAAAUAGAACUCGCUCAUGGAAUAAGAUUGAAUAUUAUUUAUACCAAGAAGAUCCUUUCUUCCAAGGAGACAAGCUCUCCUUGCUAGCUCUUGCCUUGCUCUACUACUAAUCUGGACUAAAGGUACAAGUGAGAGGUGUGAGGUAAAUUGACUCCAAAUGAUGUGUGUGUUGAAAAGGGGGGAGUGCCUCUAUUUUUAUAGUGGAACUAGGACGGUUCGUCGCAUCUAAAUUUGGUAGUAGGUGAAACCGUCCUAUGCAUGGCGGCAUGCAACUACCUGAGAAAGAUAGGCCUGGUUUGACGCCUCCAGGGGUGUGCCCGCACCAGGGUGCGGCCACAACCUGGGUGGGUUCCCCUGUCCACCGCCUUCGUGUGGUCGGUUUGGCUCUGGGCCUGGAUCUCUCCCGUGGUUACGAUCAGGCCCAGUUUUGUGUUGUUCGGGUCUUUCUCUAUUUUCUUGGUUUGCACGUUUCUGAAUACGUCUUUUGGUACUUUGCGCUUUCUUCGUGGUAUGGCACAUUUUCACUUGUUGCACUAUAAUUCCUGCAAAAUAUAAUCACUAUGGUACAAGUGGAACUUGUUAGUAAUAAAAUGCAUGUGUGUAUAUAAUAUGAUUACUUCUUCUCCUUUUGGAUCAAGUUGGCAGUUUAUAAUUGGUCUAUAAUGACUGCCAACAACAAUACAUGUAGGUGAUCUUGGACAUCCAUCUAAGGUGGUUCUAAUGACGGUUUAUCCAAGGGUGGAAAAGCGGGAAGCACAGGGAUCACUGACGUGGCACCCCCUCUACUCCCCCUAUAAAUAGAGGCAGCAUCCACCCUCUCAAAAGAGAAGGUGUGUCACUAUUAGUCUAGUGUGGGAGUUAGAGUUGAGUCGAGCGAAGCUCAGAGUCUCUGGAGUUGUCUUCUGGAGAGUCUGAUAUUCCACUUUACCUUUUCUCUUAUAAUACUUUGAGUAUUUAAUAUAUUUACUUUUCCUUUACUUUUGUAAGUAUUUACUUUCAGUAUUUACUUGGUGCAAUAUUCUAUUGUAGUGUCCUAGUCUGUCUUAUAGUAGUUAUUGUUGACGGUCCUUAAGUACUAAAAUUAACCAUCAAUUAAACAUGAAAAAGGAUCAAUAUGCACCAAACAUCUAGAAUUAGGGUUUUAUCUUACAGAAUUCCACGAGCUUUUGUGUUUAUCUAUUUCUGCAGGGAGUUAUCAGAAAAUAUGGAGAGAAGGCCCACAUGUCAUGUUUACAACGAGAUAAUUACGUGCCGUGCAAUUUUCCUCAAUCUAGAAGAGUCCAGAAGCCACGGGAAGGAAUGGGAAGGCGAUCGGGCUCGGGGGCAGGGCGCCCGCCCUCCCCCCUUGGGCGCCCGCCCAGGUCUCGGGUCCAAUCCGAACCAAACUCUUGGAUCGUGUUCCACCGACCUAAAGGAUCAAGGAAAACCAUGCGAUCAAUGUCGGUUUGAUCCGACGGCCCAAAUUCACUUGAAAGGACUAUAUAACUGUGGGGGUAUAAACCCCUAUACCCUUACGGCUAGACUUCAGCCAGGAAGCUUGGCCCACUACGAGACGAGUUCAAGGCUUGAUCCGACAGCCCGAGUUUCGCGCAAGGAAACAAGACGUGGAGAUCAAGCAGGAUUCUAGUCGGUUAGAAUAGGAAUUGAUAUCGAAUUAUCUACGGCAGUUGUAACCGACUAGGAUUAGUUUCUAGCUCUGUAGCCCUGCCCUCCGGACUAUAUAAGGAGGGGCAAGGGACCCCCCUAACACAUCAUAUUCUCUCAGCACAAAUCAAUACAACCAGACGCAGGACGUAGGUAUUACGCCAACUCGGCGGCCGAACCUGGAUAAAAAGCUUGUCCGUGUCUUGCGUCACCAUUGAGUUCGUAGUUUGCGCACCGUCUACCGAUAAACUACUACCGUGGGUAUACCCCAAGGUAGACUGCCGACUAGCUUUCGUCGACAGUGGCGCGCCAGGUAGGGGGUGUGCGUGCAACUUUUCCGGCGAACAAGAUGGUCACGAUCCCAGCUUCCGCGACCGUGCCCGAAGGCCUCACGUUCACCGUCGGCCAGAUCACGUGGACGACGUGCAGCGGCGGUUUCGCGACCACGGUUCCGAAAGAGAUCCAGAUCCAAUCUGAGAUCACGCCGUCUCCGACCACACGCAUGACGGCACCAAGCUCCCGACCACCGUUCCCGCUCUACAAGGGAAAGGAGAUCGACUGCUCGGACCUCCUCCAAGCGCUCGAUCGCGCUGACUCCAAGCUACUCGAAGUCUCCCAACUAAUAGAUGGAGUUCUACGCCGGCCCGACCAAGCUGCUCGAGCGGAUUUUUCGAAAUUCCGCCGGCCAACUCGUGUCGCCACACACGAACGGCUGGGAACGUCCCUGACGAUAACCUCAACCCCCUCAGGACGAUCCGUCGAGCUCAAAAAGGAAGACUAUCCUUGCGGCCUGAACAACUCGGCCUCUGUUUACUCACAGCAUGUCCAAUCCGUUUUCAGCAAAGCGGGCUGGUCGCCGACAAGGAACAAUCGUCACCAUGUCAACAUGGUGACCAUCCGAGAGCUACGGGACGGCCAGGUUUCCAGCACCAACUCAAGCACCGGCUCCGUCCCCACCGAGGUUGUGAACACCGAAGACGAGGACUACGACCUGGAUUUUCCUCCACACCCUCCGGGUUUCGACCGAUUCCCGAUAUUCCCCCCCCGGCGAGGGGAUAUUGUAUUCAAUGUCAGCGCCGACGAACCGGCUGUUGACGGAGAAACAGACGACCAGAGGCAACUCCGCGAACAGCGUAACGCCGAUCGCGCCCGACGGCGUGCGGACGAGCAACAACAGACGCCACCAGGUAACCUCAACGAUGCCUUUGACAUGGUCGGGGACCAGCCGGUCUACAAAACGCCAAGCGCCAACGUGGCUGUCGCCAUGGCCAACCUGGAUCGGCUUCCUGACACCCCCGAAUGCCAGGGAGUCCGGACCAGUAUCCGAGCACACCUGAUCGCCGCGAUGGGACAGACAGCCACUCUGCUCAAGAGAGUCCAGGACGUCUCUUAUACGGAAGCCGCCUCCGACCAAACUCAUCGUAGCCGGGCCUCACCCAGCAGGCGUCGCCGCAGCCGCUCUCCCGACAACCGUCGAGGGGACUCACGGCGCGACGAUGGUGGUCGGGACGCCGAUGGCCGCCGCCAGCAGAACCGUGUACGCGGCCAAGAAGAAGAAGAUCAACACAGGGAUCUCCGCCACAACAUCCCUCCCAAAGAUGCCCGGGACAGCAUCAACAGGCGCGCCGCAGAGAGAGCAGUCCACGAAAACCUGCGCCGCAUCGAGUACGAUGCGACCCAUGGUCCUCCGGGCCUAAGGCAGUUCUCCUCACACCUCCGCCAGGUCGUGUGGCCCCGCAAUUUCAAGCUCGAAAAACUUAAAAAAUACGACGGCAAGGAAAAUCCAGAGAACUGGAUCACCCUCUACGAAAUCGCCGUCCGAUCAGCGGCAGGAGAUGAGCACGUCAUGGCUAACUACUUCCCCGUAGUCCUCGACCAGGCUGGUCAUCAGUGGCUUCUCGGCUUGCCCGAGGACUCCUUCGACUCUUGGGAAGAGCUACGACAGGCUUUCAUCGACAACUUCAUCGCCACAUGCGAGCAGCCCGGAAACAAGUAUGACCUUGAAAGGAUAAGAGACAGGAAGAAUGAACCUCUGCGCGAUUACAUCCGACGAUUCUCGGAUAUGCGCCUCAAAAUCCCGAAGAUUUCUCAUGACGAGGCCAUAUCAGCCUUUAUCAAGGGCUUGCGUUUCCAUGAAGCGCUGAGGAACAAGCUGUUGCGUAAGCGCCCAUCAACGGUAGCAGAGCUCCUAGCCACGGCUAAAAAUUAUGCCGAUGCUGAUGACGCAGAAAAACUAAUCCGAGACGAUGCGAGAGGCACCGACCAGCCCUCCCGGCGAGAUGACGGUCGUGGUCGCUACGACAACAGAAAUCACCGCCGCUCCGACAACCGCGAUCACCGAGAGGGUUGGGAUCGGCGGCGCGACAGCCGCGACGACUUCAGAGGAAAGCGCCCUCGCGAAUACGACCACGAAGUAAACACGGUCAAACGUCCCAAUGGACGACGGGACUACCAAGACGACUACAACAAAACGUUGAAGGGACCGUGCCAGCUACACCCAAAGUCUAACCAUACCAUGGAAGAGUGCCGCGUCCUCAAAAGUAUCUAUACACGGCGGGCCGCCCAAGAAGACACCGCCAAGAAAAGUAACAAACGCGACGGGCACGACCACGAAGAUGAGGAUGAGGACCAAGACAGGGACCCCCGACACCAAUACGUCAGCCCCACCGACGUGGUCCACUCCAUUUUCGGGGGCAAGGUCUCCACUGAGUCCAAGCGAGAAAGAAAGCUGUUAAAGAGAGCCUGCCUCAACAUAGACAGCACGGACGGGCUGAUCGCAGAUCCGAAAUUUCCCGCCUGGUCCCACAGGGAGAUCGCGUUCAGCAGGAAGGACCAGUGGGCCGCUAUCCCAGAGCCGGGUCGUUUCCCACUAAUUCUUGAUCCCUGCAUCAAUAGCAUUAGAUUCGAGCGCGUGCUCGUGGACGGGGGAAGCUCCAUCGACAUCCUCUUCCGCAACAGCCUGCCCGCCCUCAAGAUAUCACCGGCGCAACUAAAACCUUACGACGCCCAAUUCUGGGGGGUUUUGCCGGGUCAAAGUUCGGUGCCCCUCGGACAGAUAACAUUGCCUGUCCAAUUCGGCACACCCGAUCACUUCCGGACGGAGUUCAUCAACUUCGUAGUCGCGGACUUCGACGGGACCUACCACGCCAUACUGGGCCGCCCAUCGCUGACAAAGUUCAUCGACAAGGCAUAUAACGAUCAAGCAAGACAAGGCAAAAGAAUGCGCAGCAGUACAAAAAGCCGCUUACCUUGACUUCGUCGACAAGGCGCUUGGCCGCGCGCUCCACCCUGGCGGCCUCUUCGGUCUCGGCGACCUCCUCAUGACCGAUAAAGUGAUCCCCGCGUUGGCGCCACACAUACACGUGUUGGCGGCCAUCACGGGGACGACCCUCGAUCUCCUCCACCUCGUCGUCGGAGGCCGCCCGGGUUUCCUCCUCCUGUGCUGCGUCACCCCCGGUGGCGGUCCCAGGCAUUACUGGCCCUUGGACCAGACCUGGGGAGCCCACAGCCGAAGAGGCUCCUGCUCGGGGCGGCGGGGGGACUUCACUCCCCCCGGCAGGAGGAGCGGUCGGAGAUCUUCCCUUCUCCGAGGAGUCAGUUGGGGGAGCCUCUCCAGCCCUGGUCGGGCUGCUUGUUGUAGUCGGCGCCGCGCUCGGGAGCCCCUCGGUGCUCCCAGGCGCGACUGCAGCUGUUGGCUGCUCUGUGGUCUGGGGGGCCGCAUCCCCAGAACCGCGGGCAGGCUCGCCCGUUCCCUGGCCGGCAGUUUGACCAGGGUCGACAUCCGAUGCCGCACUACAGGAACAAAAGUAAAAAAAAAAGAGGAGUCCAAAAUACGUAAGUCGAACACUUACAGGUCUGACCGACGGUGGGUCGCGGUGAACCUCCUCCUCACCCGUCCGGUCGGCACCUGUGCCCCCGUCUCGACACCUUGCGGGGCAGCGGCGCCGCUGGCCACUCGAUCAGUGGCGACCGGCGCAGUGUCUGGGCGGCUCCGAGGCCGUCGGACCAACGACGGCGCAGCCUCCUCGUCGUCGUCGUCGUCGACGAUCCGCACGAGCCGACGACGCUUCGGCGCUUGGCUGCUCUCCGCCGGUAGAUCUGCCGGCAGCUCCGGUGUCGGCAAGGGAUCUGCCGGCAAUGGCCUUUUCCCCGCUACCCUCUCCUCGGAGGUCGGGACGGGGCGGGCUCGGUCUUCCUCACCGCUGGUGUAAUGAGUACACCGAGCAGCGUCCUCCCCUGGCGGGACCUCUCCCACAGGAUCUUCCAUCCCCGGUGCCAGUGAUACAUACACUGCGCACCGGUCGACAUCACCGACCUGCAAAAGCAACAGAGAUGAGUUAACUGCAGACGAUAUACGAAUGAUCAAACAGACUCUGCUACAUACCUUUGGUGCUGGUCGUCCUAACUUGAAGGCUUGCACCCGAUCACUACCACGGAUGAAGCCCCCAUCCGCGAAGUUAAACAGCUCGUUCAACAGCUGUUGUACCUCCGCUUUCUCCAAGAUCUCCGACCGCAUCCUGGUCGGGUCUGCGCUUCCGGCAUACUCGUACGCCGAGUGCACCCUCUUCUGGCAGGGCAUCACCCGGCGGCAAAUGAAGUUGCCGACCACGCCAAGCCCGUCUAGGCGCGACCAGUCGAUCAGCUUCAUGAGAUCCGCCACUGGACCAUCGAACUCCGGACGGUCGGUCCAGCUCGCCCUCUUCUCGGGAACGUAUCCCACGUCGCAGAACGUGGAGCUGCCCGGUUCCUCCCUUAUGUAGAACCACUUCCUGUACCAUUCGGUCAAGGAAGUGUUCCAUGGGCAGUGCAGGUAGCGAUUCUUCAUCCCAUCACGAAGGUUGAGGUAUACUCCACCUGCAACCUUGGAGCCUCCAACUGCUCCCUUCUUCCUCAGACAGAAAAGAUACCGGAAAAGAUCGAAGUGCGGCUCUAUGCCAACAUAGGCCUCGCACAGGUGGAUGAAGGUGGAAAUAAGGAGAAUUGAGUUCGGGUGCAGAUUGCAAAUCCCGAUCUCAUAGUACAAAAGAAGACCUUGAAGAAAAGGAUGGACAGGAACACCAAAACCUCUCUUAACGAAAUCUUCAAAAACAACGAUCUCACCGGCGCGAGGGUCGGGGUAGCUCUCCCCCUCCGGUGCCCUCCAGCCGCCGAGCUCUGCGCCGUGCAGAAGCCCCAUAUCGACGAGGUCACCAAGAGAUUUUGUGGUGCUGCGAGACUUCUUCCACUCCUUGGCCAUCAGUUCGGCCCUCUUCCUGGAGUCGCUCUUCGCCAUUAGAGGUGCGAAUGUGGGCUGGAGUUAGGAAGAUGCAGGAGUUUGGAGAAGAUGAGAGCGGAAUGUUUGAAGGCAAUGGUAGGAGAAGCGGUACAGGCGGUCCUAUUAGGCCCUUAUAAACCCGCGACCCCACCUCUCCCACUUCCUGUAUUCUCGGGAAGUGGGCAGGCCAUGCGGCGGACGCGGCGUUUCGGUUUACAAUGAUUAUAGACAAUUAAUGCGGCGGAGUUUUCGUACCAAUUGAUGGUUUCCUUUUCUCAAACCAUGCAAAGAGCGGUUGUACAGUUGCCAGGUGCAGCUUUUCAUGCAUCCGUCUGACAUAUCGUCAGGAGACCCCGUCACGUCAACUUUAAUUGGAAAGAUCUUUUCAAAAGUAAGAAGACACAUACGCCAGUGAGUCAGCAAUCCGGGGACUACACCGACCACCGAGCACUCGACGCUCGGGGACUGGUUGCCCAGUCUAUCAGCUCAGAACUUCAAGGACUGCACCGACCACCGAGCACUCGACGCUCGGGGACUGGUCGCCCAGUCUAUCAGCUCGGAACUUCAAGGACUGCACCGACCACCGAGCACUCGACGCUCGGGGACUGGUUGCCCAGUCUAUCAACUCAGAACUUCAAGGACUGCACCGACCACCGAGCACUCGACGCUCGGGGACUGGUCGCUCAGUCUAUCAGCUCAAAACUUUAAAGCAUGCACCGACCACUGAGCACUCGAUGCUCGGGGACUGGUCGUACAGUAUAGCAACAUAUAAUUCCAAGAAGCACACUAAGUGCCUGGGGACUGGUCGAUUGGUCUUUUCGAUUGCAGACGAGCAUGACAUGCUCGGGGACUGGUAAAUUCAAUUUUUUAGACCUUGCUACAAGGCUCAUACUUCGCCUUCCAGCAAGCUCGGGGACUACAUCGGUACGAUGCAUCUAGCGAUGCAUCUCAGUCUCAAAACUACUUUGGGGAAUUUUCUUUUGACCCUGGCACCACGUGCCUACGCCACCUACUACCAGGCUCGGGGACUAAGUGGGCACACUUCACCUAGCGGUGAAUUUGCUUGCUUUUUUGAUGCUUCUACCUUUCAAAAAGGCAAAGUGGGCACACUUCACCAGGAAAGAAAAUUUUUUUUAGAGCACCAUGCAUUCUUCGAACAACCUGCUUCUUCGAUGUCAACGUUGAUCAACUGUCUUUCGAGUUGGUCAAGGAACCGUUGCAACUGUGUGGGCGAUUUCCCCGCUUAUUGAAGACGACAAGCCUCGCUGAUCGAAGAAGCUCAAGACGGCAUGUUGCAUCACAAUACAUGGCGCUCGGGGACUAGCUGUGGGGGUAUAAACCCCUAUACCCUUACGGCUAGACUUCAGCCAGGAAGCUUGGCCCACUACGAGACGAGUUCAAGGCUUGAUCCGACAGCCCGAGUUUCGCGCAAGGAAACAAGACGUGGAGAUCAAGCAGGAUUCUAGUCGGUUAGAAUAGGAAUUGAUAUCGAAUUAUCUACGGCAGUUGUAACCGACUAGGAUUAGUUUCUAGCUCUGUAGCCCUGCCCUCCGGACUAUAUAAGGAGGGGCAAGGGACCCCCCUAACACAUCAUAUUCUCUCAGCACAAAUCAAUACAACCAGACGCAGGACGUAGGUAUUACGCCAACUCGGCGGCCGAACCUGGAUAAAAAGCUUGUCCGUGUCUUGCGUCACCAUUGAGUUCGUAGUUUGCGCACCGUCUACCGAUAAACUACUACCGUGGGUAUACCCCAAGGUAGACUGCCGACUAGCUUUCGUCGACAAUAACCAAGGCCUCUCCACCCCUGGGGGAGAGAAGAGAAGAAAUCAUUAUCAGAGGUAGCCAUCAAAGUUAGGGUUUAGAGCUUCUCUCCCACAAAGAAUUAGAAUUAGCUACUCCCUGAUCCUUUUAGUUUAGAGGAUUGAUUAGAUAGCAAUUAGAGAAGUAGAGCACUACGCUCUGGAUUUGGAUCUUCGGUAAUAAAGAUUGGUAUUAUUCAUAUCUUUCUCUAAUACUUUGUUCUAAUUACAUUAUGUCUCUAUUUAUUAUGCUCUUAGUUUGCUCUAGUUCUAUAUUUGAUAUAGUUAUGAUUGAUAAUGAGUUUAUGUAUAAGUUUGCAAAGCGCUUAGCUCUUGACUCGAGGGAGUUAAGUGGUAGAUCACAUGUGGGCGUGGUGCUUAGAAGUUAUUUACCUGCAAAUGUAUCCUAUUGGCCGGGUUGUGUGGUAGUUCACGAUAGUGACAGCUUCGUUGAUUCUUAUAUAGUCCACCCUCCGUUGAUAGGACAGGCAGAAUUUGUAUUGCGGAGUAAGUCUUACGAUGCUCUGAUUUACUUUACCAAUGUUCCUUAUACAUGAAUGAAGAGUCUUUUAUACUAUACAUGAUCUUGUGGAUAACUAGAGUAGAUUGUGACUUAGUAGAUAGUAGAUAACUUAGAAUCCAUUCUCUAGCUAAUCCGACGUCACCUACAUAUAUGAGGAGUAGUCUAUUUUCUAAUCGUUGUGUUAUUUACCCAUGAACUUAUAAUUCAUUAUCAUUAUCUUUAUGGUUUACCCCCUGCCAAAGUAAGUGACUGUGUGACGAGUUUCUCAUUAGUAAUCAUGUUCUUGCAAGUUUAUCUCUAGUCUAUGCCUUGAUAGAUUUAGUCCUUAUCUUAAUUUCACCCUUGUUCUCUGAAAUACUACAAUGAGGUGUUUUAUUUGUGCGCUUGCGGAUAGAAUAGAUUAUUUUCUAGAGAGCCUUUACAUUUAUAAAUACCUUUGUACACUCUGGCACCAUGCUGGAGAUGACAACCUAGUAUCUAAGUGAUGUUAGCUAGUGUCAACAAGCAUUUCUGGCACCGUUGCCGGGGAACAAAAGGGUAAUACAUAGGAACUGUAAGGAAAGUCAGGAAAUCAGUCAAGGUUAUUCACAUAAAAUAUUAGACUAGACUAUAGAGAAAUAAUUGCAUAAAACAGCUACUAAGUGAGAAAUCAUAACAAGGCACCUCUGCUUUGGCAGGUUCACCCUGUUGUUUUUCUAUGUUUAUAUUUUUAUACAGGGUAUAUCAGGAUUGACUUUGGGUACAUUCUACUCUUCAUCAUCAGAACCAAAGCACUCAAGAAAGAAAGAAGAAGCUUGCUACCAAUUGCUGAAGCUAUGGCACAGAAGACCCUACAAGAAUUCUCUGCUCCGAGUCUUGAGAACAUUCCAAUUGGUCCAAGAUUUGCAGUAGAAGAAGGAGCACCCGAGUUCGAGCUCAAGUCAAGCCUCAUCAAUUUGGUACGAGCUACACAAUUUAGUGGAAAGGCACAUGAAGAUGCUAGUGCGCACUUGCAGAAUUUCUUAGAGAUUGGAAGCACAAUCCACAUCAACGGUGUUGACAAAGACGUCAUACUGCUUCGCCUUUUUCCAUUCUCACUAGAAGGAAAAGCGAGGAAGUGGUUCUACACUCAUCAAGAUAACAUCAACAACUGGACGAACUUGUCAGAUGCCUUUCUAUCAAAGUUUUUCCCUAUAGGCAAAACAACUGCCUUAAGAGGAAAUAUUGUCAGUUUCCAACAGCAGAAGACACAACCCAUUUCAGAAGCAUGGGAGCAUUUUCAAGGAUACAUAUCAGAUUGUCCUCACCAUGGAAUGGCCACAUGGUUACUUAUGCAGAUCUUCUACCAUGGAUUAACCCAAAAGGCUCGUGAGUGCCUAGAUGCAUCUGCUAAAGGAUCAUUCUUGGAGCUUACAAUUGGAAAAGCAGAGAUACUUUUGGAUAAGAUAGCAGAAAAUCAAAGCUGGUUCCAAGAUGAAGCUCAACAAUGUCAUCAAACAGAGGAAAUACCAGAAGAAGUAAAUGUAUUAUCAACCAAGAUGGAAAAUUUGCUCCAUUGGAUUGACCAGAGGGCCAAGUUCAAAGAAGAUCAAAGGGCCAUUGAGAUAACACACAAAUAUCAAACCACUUCGAGUCAACCCAAUAGCAAAGGUAUGAAUUCAGGUAAUACUUUCAAGCAACUUUCAUUAAAAGAGAUAAUUGCUCAACAAACCAAAAUUAAUGAUGAAGUUAAACAAAGGCUAGACACAAAUGAAUCAUCUCUAAAAGAUAUAUGUAAUAAAAUGGAUUUUCUAUUAACUUCCUUUGAUGAGCAAAACACUCUUAAUAAAAGGGUAGAGCUUAAAUUAAUAAAGUUAGCUGCUGCACUGCCUGUUGCUACUAACAUUGAGCAGCUAAAGAACAUAACUACUAGAGGAGGCAAAGCCACCAGGGAUCCCCCAUACCCAAAAGAGAAACAAAGAACAUCAGCACCAGUGCAACCAGCAGUGAUAGAAGAAGAAAGCCCAAUUGAAGCAGAAGAUCUGCUACAACCACCAAGAACUAGAGAAAUGAGGAAAGAUUUUUACGACACCAACUAUUUGCCAUUUCCCAAGAGGACUGCAGUCGGAUGAGCAGUUUGGUAAGUUUGUAGAGGUCAUUCAGAAAUUAUAUGUCAACAUACCUCUGCUUGAUGCCAUACAGGUACCCACAUAUGCAAAGUACAUCAGAGAUAUUCUUAACAAGAAGAGACCACUGCCCACCACUGAGGUUAUCAAGCUGACAGAAGAAUGUAGUGCGGCCAUCCUCAAUAAACCACCAAGGAAGAAGGUAGAUCCCGGAUGUCCCACUAUUGAUUGCUCAAUCGGAAACCAACACUUCAACAAUGCACUUUGUGAUCUCGGAGCAAGUGUCAGUGUGAUGCCAGCAUCAGUCUACAAAAAGCUUGAGCAUACGACCCUAGAACCAACAUCAAUGUGCCUGCAACUAGCAGAUCAAUCAGUUCGACACCCGUUGGGCAUCGCUGAAAACAUUCCAGUCAAGAUCAGAGAUUUCCUGGUGUCAGUAGACUUCGUGGUACUGGACAUGAGUCCUGACUCAAAUGUGUCUAUUAUCCUUGGAAGGCCAUUUCUGAGCACCGCCAAUGCCCACAUUGAUGUCGGAAAAGGAGAAAUCAAGUUCAACAUAAACGGAAAAGAAGAACACUUCACAUUCAAACCCAGACCAGAGAGAGACCCUACAGUGAAGGAAGUUCAUGAAGAACCACUGGAGACACCAUCUCUAGAGGAAGGUAAUUCAGAAGAUUAAAAAGAUUUGGAGGUCCAGCUUGGGGGACCUAAAAAUCCCAAACCCUCACCGGGUGGUAAAUCGGUAUUUAUCCGCAUUAUUAAUUCUUGCAUAAUUAAUUCUUGCAUUAGUCAUAUUUAUUCAUAGCAUUAUUAUAAUAAUAAAAAGCCCCAUAUAAAUAAUAUUUAUGGUGUGUAACAACCCAUAUUUAUUAAAUUAUUGUGGAGGCACAAAAAUAUUUUCCAUUAUCAUUUCAAAUAAGUUUUAAUUCUCAUAGAUUUUCCUGCAUUAUAUUUAAUUAUAGCAACCUUCUAGAAGCAUGACCCACACUCCUUGGGUCCCACAUGUCAUACACCACACCUCACACACAUCCCAUCACAUUAUUUGAUCCACCAACAUAACUCCACUCACCAGCACUUUUCCACCGGCCAACCACCACCCAUGAUCCAUUAUUUUGCGUAAGAGUUAAGCAAAGGAAGGAGUGGAGAAAAGGCAGCCAGGAUGGGCACCUAUAGAGGGCGCCCGCCCACCUAUAGAGGGCGCCUGCCCUGUCCCCUCUUCCUCCUAUAAAUUGCCACCUUCUGCCUCCAACUUCUUCACACAAGCAUUCCAGAAAACCACGCAAGUUUCAGUUUCCAAAGAAGGAGCUCUUGUAGUGAAGUGAGAAGAGAGUAGAGAGAAAGAAAAGAGUGGGAAAGAAGUUGGUAGUUUUUGAGUAAGAGAGUGAGUUUCACCUAGUAAGUAGUGAUCCCGCUGUCCAAGCGGAAGUAAAAGUUGUUUAGGGGGAGGUGCUGCCAAAAUAAAAACUUAUAACCCCUGGACUACUGACAUUUCGGACAGCUAACCACUAACAUUUUCUCUCACAUUUUCCACUAGUUGUGUUUUUGCCAACUUUUGUUUACAGGAUGUUCAAGAAGGUGAAGAACGCAGGGAAGGCUCUCAAGAACAUAGGUACAAGGAGUUCAUCCCGACACUCCUCACACCCAUCAGAGAUGAGUGUCGACCCAACGCCUACACAAGCUCCGUCAUCUUCAUCUGGUCAGCAAGUCAAGGUCCUUCUCAAGAUAGGAGACCUUGGACUGAAGACCCAAAGGGAGAAGGAAGUUUACAAGCAGCUGAAGAAUAAAGAUUUCAUUCACACCCCUACUCUUGAUCCCAUCCUGCUACUAGAAACAGGUAUGGACACUGAAUUUGACUUAAUUUUCCAGAUGUUAGGUUGGACAAAUUUUUGGAACAUAACUGAGCUGGGUUCUCGUCUUCUCACCCUUGAAUUUCUUUGCACUUUACAAUAUUAUGAGGGGGGAAUUGUUUUUCGGAUGUUCAAACAGGAGAUUAUGUUGUCUUGGAGAGAACUGAGCGACCAUCUUGGUUUCUCUUCAAGAUGCAUCCUGAACAUUGACUCCGACUUACACAAUUUUGAGAGACACCAGUUCUGGAGAGAGGUAUCUAGAGAUAAUUUUUAUAGUCAAGCCCGAACCAGUGACAUGGAACACCCCACUCUUAGGAUGUUCCACAAAUGGCUUGGGUACAAUCUUUUCUAUCGUGAUGAUAUUAGGAAAGUAAGAGUAGGAGAUUUACAACUUUUAUAUGCUGCUAUUAAUAAAGUACCCACUUCACCUGUUACACUUUUGGUUUCUCAUUGGCUUAGUAUACCUAGUCUUCAUGGACCAGUAGGUUGUACUUCACUUAUCACUCGUCUAGCCUUUAAUCUUCACUUGCUAGAAAACUCGUCAUUGGAAUUCAUAGAUGAGUUAAGAAUUUAUCAUGGCUAUGACACAUUUAGACAAGCUCGGAUGUUGAAGAAAGAAGGGAACAUAAUGUAUAUGCUAUAUGAUGAUAAAGGCAAGAUUCGGUUACCUAACCCGAACCUUGGCCUCUAUGUUGUUCAAAAUUUUUUGAUUGAGAUUGCAGUGACACCGGUGAACCAGAGAGCUCCACAGCGAGUGGCAUCUGAAAGAAUGACCACCCAUCAAGAACGCACCUGGUAUGGAGCUGAUCCCAGGACGAAAGAAGCAGCGCACCUGCAUUAUCGCGACUACAACCCCCGAGUCCUUCGAGACCCAUGGGUUUGACAUGCGCAACCACAAGAGCCAACACAGGAGACAUGGCCGGAGAGCCAAGAUCACCAGUGGACAAACCCGCCUUUUCAUACGGGCAGGUACUCCACUGAUCCUUAUGGAGCUUCAGGAUCCAGACCUCCGCCCCAAUUCGAUGCAGGACGAUACUCCGACGCCUCUUAUGCUUUCAUGAACGACUACUACCAAGAGGCCGGUGCUUUCUUCACCCGUACCGACAACACUCUCCUCGACAUCCAGAACACGCAAGGAGAACAUGGACGACUCCUGGAAGAACAGCAAAAAUGGAACCAUGACCACGCCACUGCAGUACAAGAACUGAGACAAGAUACCACAACAAUGAACGACAACAUCACCACCAUGAUGCGGUUCUGGAACAUUGGGCAAGACCGACAACCACAUCCAGCUUGGGGGAGUUUCUCCCCAAUUUAUCAAGUAAGUUUUUAUUUGCUCUUCUUAUUUAUUCCUUUCUAUUUUAGUGUUUUAUUUAUCUUAAAGAGAAAAAUUUAGGAAACCCAAUAAAUAUUUUCUUGCUUUAAUUUACUGCAUUCUAUAAACAUGAAAACAAAAUAAAAAGAGUGUGUAGAUAAGUGUGCUUUAUUUUUCCUGCUAAGUUUAAUCUCCAGAAAAAAUAAAAAGACCAAAAAAAUGCAUGAUGGAAAUGAUGAACAGUUGCUCAGUUUGCUUACUUUCAAGUACCUAGCUUUUAUAUUAGAGUUCUUCCAGGAAUUACUAAAACUGAAAUUACUAUCCAUGGGAAGCAUAAAACUAAAGUCUAGGUAAGAGAAGGACAUAAUAUAAAGUUUGAGCUGCUGUUUAUCUUGUUCCUACUACACUAAGUUCUGGAGAUUUAUUUUGAAAACUUACAAAUCACAUGAUGAGUUCCUAGCAUAACAAAAUUCCUACCACAGCCAUACUUGCUAUAACAUCCUUUCCUACUCAUAUUCACAAUGAGUUUGAUUGAGCUGUGUAGACCCUUAGGAGCUUUUCAUGUGGUUAAAUUAAGAUAUUCACUUGCACACAUCUACUACACCAUCCACCACCAAUCAUUAAAUUUGCUAAAAAUAUUAUUACCACUCACUGUCCCAAAUGUUGUUAUUCUCUCUCUAAAAAGAUUCAAUGCAGAAGAGACAUGGGUUAUGCAAAUAUAUAUAUAUAUAUAUAUAUAUAUAUAUAUAUAUAUAUAUAUAUAUAUAUAUGCAUAUAUAUAUAUAUAUAUAUGNNNNNNNNNNNNNNNNNNNNNNNNNNNNNNNNNNNNNNNNNNNNNNNNNNNNNNNNNNNNNNNNNNNNNNNNNNNNNNNNNNNNNNNNNNNNNNNNNNNNUAUAAACACACACAUAUAUACACAUAUACAUCACUAUACAUAUAUAUAUAUAUAUAUAUUUAUAUAUAUAUAUAUCUCUAUCUAUAUAUAUAUAUAUAUAUAUAUAUAUAUAUAUAUAUAUAUAUAUAUAUAUAUAUAUAUAUAUAUAUAUAUAUAUAUAUAUAUAUAUAUAUAUAUAUAUGCGAGGAAAUAAAAAGGGGCAAGUGCGCGGAGCCUCAACAAAGAAAGAAAAAGAGUGAGAUGAGAGGUAAAAAUGGACAAGUGUCCGGAGUAGAAUUAGGGGUACAAAGAUGCCCACUUGAGCGGAAAAAAAUGGACAAGUGUCCGACAGUAGAAUUAGGGGUAUCUACUACCCACCUGAAAAAAAAGAGAAAAGAAAAAGAUAGCCCAUGUUCUCCCAAAGCAAAGACAAAAAAGGAGGAGAGAUAGCAAUAUGAGGAGCAAUGAGAACUAAGUUUUAUUAUCACUUAUACAUUUUUACCAUCACUAUCAUUUACUCCACCACACAUGCACAUCUUGAUUUAAUUAUAUGCUGAGUUCCUUUGGAUCCAUGGCUCGAUUAGACAACAUAUGUAUGAGCUAUUUUUCACUCCUAUGAGCUCCACUUAAAUAUUCCAUUAGCUAUAGGUAAGUGAAAUUUUGGUAAGGAUCCACAAAUACUACAUAUAGAGAGACUUGAGAGAAUCAUUGCUUGGAACUCUGAAUUUAUUUUUUUGAAAACUUAUGAAAAACUCUGGAACAAAGGUGAAGUAUAGACAGGAGGAAUAGUGCUUGACUUAAUUAUUUUGUCUUUCAAUUACUUAAGACUUAAGUGCAGGUACUAAGCUCCUUGACACUUCACUCUAAUCUGGAAGAAUUUUUAUGUAAAAGCAUGUGUGACUGUCAGGAAAGAAAACAUCGAAGCAACUCCUGAUCCAUCUGAGUUUAGCUGUUUGCUCAGGGAGCAAAGGGUAAGCUUGGGGGAGUUUGUUGACGGUCCUUAAGUACUAAAAUUAACCAUCAAUUAAACUUGAAAAAGGAUCAAUAUGCACCAAACAUCUAGAAUUAGGGUUUUAUCUGACAGAAUUCCACGAGCUUUGGUGUUUAUCUAUUUCUGCAGGGAGUUAUCAGAAAAUAUUGAGAGAAGGCUCACAUGUCAUGUUUACAACGAGAUAAUUACGUGCCGCGUAAUUUUCCUCAAUCUAGAAGAGUCCAGAAGCCACAGGAACGAACGGGAAGGCGAUCGGGCUCGGGGGCAGGGCGCCCGCCCUCCCCCCUUGGGCGCCCGCCCCGGUCUCGGGUCCAAUCCGAACCAAACUCUUGGAUCGUGUUCCACCGACCUAAAGGAUCAAGGAAAACCAUGUGAUCAAUGUCGGUUUGAUCCGACGGCCCAAAUUCACUUGAAAGGACUAUAUAACCAAGGCCUCUCCACCCUUGGGGGAGAGGAGAAGAGAAGAAAUCAUUAUCAGAGGUAGCCAUCAAAGUUAGGGUUUAGAGCUUCUCUCCCACAGAGAAUUAGAAUUAGCUACUCCCUAAUCCUUCAAGGUUAGAGGAUUGAUUAGAUAGCAAUUAGAGAAGUAGAGCACUACGCUCUGGAUUCGGAUCUUCGGUAAUAAAGAUUGGUAUUAUUCAUAUAUUUCUCUAAUACUUUGUUCUAAUUACAUUAUGUCUCUAUUUAUUAUGCUCUUAGUUUUCUCUAGUUCUAUAUUUGAUAUAGUUAUGAUUGAUAAUGAGUUUAUGUAUAAGUUUGCAAAGCGCUUAGCUCUUGACUCGAGGGAGUUAAGUGGUAGAUCACAUGUGGGCGUGGUGCUUAGAUGUUAUUUACCUGAAAAUGUAUCCUAUUGGCUAGGUUGUGUGGUAGUUCGCGAUAGUGACAACUUCGUUGAUUCUUAUAUAGUCCACCCUCUGUUGAUAGGAGAGGCAGAAUUUGUAUUGCGGAGUAAGUCUUACGAUGCUCUAAUUUACUUUAGCAAUGUUCCUUAUACAUGAAUGAAGAGUCUUUUAUACUAUACAUGAUCUUGUAGAUAACUAGAGUAGAUUAUGACUUAGUAGAUAGUAGAUAACUUAGAAUCCAUUCUCUAGCUAAUCCGACGUCACCUACAUAUAUGAGGAGUAGUCUAUUUUCUAAUCGCUGUGUUAUUUACCCAUGAACUUAUAAUUCAUUAUCAUUAUCUUUAUGGUUUACCCCCUACCAAAGUAAGUGACUGUGUGACGAGUUUCUCAUUAGUAAUCAUGUUCUUUCAAGUUUACACUCUGGCACCAUGCUAGGGAUGACAACCUAGUAUCUAAGUGAUGUUAGCUAGUGUCAACAGUGAUAUAUUAGCUAAGUUAGUCUUAAGUGCUUGGGUUGUUUUCUCUGCCGAUAACAUGGUGCUUGGAGUAGGUCAUAUACUUAGUCUGAGUAGUAGGAGUUAGCAUAACCGUGGUGCUUAGACUAAAGCCUGCCCUUGAAUACCACCGUAUCAAACGUGAUAUCAGGCGGUGGCCGUGUGAUAUCUCUCGCUCGCUCUCCAAGUCGAUGAAGGGGGCGUUGGCCUCGUCAAUGGUGUGGCCGUGUGGCUCCUCCUCCUCUCCUCCAUGUGCCGGCUGCUCGUUCCUUGUAGGGGUUGGUGGAUCUUCCACGCAUUGGCGGUGGCUCCUUCUAAGCCCAAAAAUUCUAUUCAUGGUGGACGAGCUAGCACAAGUGUAUGGUGUUUUCGCUUGGAGAGGGAAGUGUGCAAGAGGUUUUUGAUAGAAUUUUCUUGCACUAAGCUUGUGGAGUAGGCUAUGAAGCAAAGUGGAGCAAGAGAGUGAAGAAGGGAAGAGUAAAAAAAAUGUGUGUGAGAGGGGGUGAAGUGCUCCACUCGGGAUCCUCUCUAUUUAUAGAAUUGAUCACAGGCGGGGGAGCGCCCCCCUCAAUGGCUACUAGCCGUUGCCCAAAGGCCGAGGCCAGCAGGCCUUAGGCAGGGUGCGGCCACACCCUGGUGCGCCCGCACUAGUGGUGGGCCCGCACCAGUGGUGGGCCCGCCUCUGCCCGGCCUUUUGGCUGCUGGCUCCAACGGUCACCCCAAACGUCUCUCUAGUUACGAUCAAACAUGGUUCGAAAUCUUGCUCCAGAUUUUGAUUUUUCACAUAUUUAUUCAAAAUAUUAUAUAAAAAUAAGAUUUGGAAAUGGGAAAAUCUAUACUACCAGAAAAUAAUUUUUAUAAGAUUUUCAGAGAAACUUUAUUUUUGACUUAAAAAAUAAAACUAUAGAAAGGGAAACUUUUGGAAACUAAAAAUAAAAACUUUCUAUAAAAAGGGAAAUUAAAACGAAAUUUAGAGAAUUUAAAAAGACAUAAUACCUGAGCGGGGACACCUCCCCGAAGCAUGUUUGAUGUCGUUGGCCCCCUUCAGAUAUCUUUAUUGGGACACAAAUAGCAAAAAAUUUAUUUUUAUUAUAUAUAGUUUUUUUAGAUAACUACCGAAUGCCUUCGGCAAGGGCUCAACAUUUAUAGUCCGUUGGCAAGACUUUCCUUCCUUCAUUCUUCUGUAGUUGCAUGGACAAACUUAGUAGAGGUUUCCAGUUGCCCUAGGAUCCUCUCUGUGUUAGUGAGUGGAAUUGAUGCAACUAUCUAUGCUAUGUGUGUUUCUAUCAUCUUGUUGAAAUUCGUCUGACUUUUGACAGAUGAACAAAGAGUUUCAAGCUUGGCGUUGAUGUUCUCAAUGAUCCUGUCAUUGUAGGACAGCUUCUUGGUCAGAUUCUUAUUGAUUUUAGCUUGCCCUAUGACCAGAUCUUUCAAGGAAGGCUGAUUGAAGAAAUUACCCUGCGGGCGGUGCUGAUUGUUCCACCCGUUGUUACCUUGCUGUGGUGGCCGAAACCCAUUGUUGACAUAUGCUGCUUCUUCUUGGGUUUCGGGGCAAUUGUUCCCCGAAUGGCCAUCAUCACCACAGACUUCACACGAUGUGUGUGAGUUCACUGCUUGGAUGGUGCCCAUGUUGGGAUUUGCAACUUGUCCGUCCAUCUUUUGCAGUAGCAAGUCUAUUUUUGUAGCAAGCACAUCUGCCUCCUUCGCAGAUUGUGAGCCUUUUUUGUGUUUUCCUUCCUUCUCCCCAGCUUUGAUUUGCCACCAUCUUCUCGAUGAGGGCAGUAGCUUCAUUAAUGGUGAGAGAAAGGAAUGCACCUCUAGCUGCGGCAUCUACGUGCCCCUUUGACAUGGCCGUGAGGCCUAUGUAGAAGUUCUGGAGCACAAGCCAGUCUUCCAUUCCAUGAUGAGGAUAGGCCUAGAUGUACUCCUGGAGCCUCUCCCAUGCUUCGGGUAUGGACUCAAGUGAAGACUGCUGGAAGUUAGAGAUCUUCCCCCUCAGAGCGCUGGUCCUGCUCAUGGGGAAGAACUUGGCGAUGAAUGCCACAGAGCACUUUUCCCAUGUGUCAACAGCUUCCUUGUUCUGAUAAAACCAUUGUUUCGCCUUUCCAGAGAGGGAAAAGGGAAACAGACGGAGCCUGACGUGUUCUACGUGACGUCCUUGAUGACGACGGUGUCGCACAACUCAAGGAAGUUCUAAAGGUGGGCGUUGGCAUCCUCGCUUGGAAGGCCAUAGAAUUGGCUUGCCUGCACCAUAGAGAUGAGGCCAGUGUGGAUCUCGAAGCUUCCAUUCCCCAUAUUGACAGCGGGCCCAGUUGGCACAUUGGCAACAGCGGGAGUGGAGUAGUCACGAAGUGUCUUGGCCAUAGUGAUUGGUGCGGUUGGUGCUGGAAUGGUUGAUUCGCUUGCCGGUUGCGUAGCAAAAGAAGAGACGGUACGAACCCUUCCCUUCCUUAGGAGUGUUUCUGGAUCAUUGUGUAAGUUUGCCGGCAAGUUGAAACCGCUCAUACACUAUCCUGUUUUCAUUCCAAUAAAAAGAGGAAGAAAACAGUAAAGUUAUCCUGCUUAAUCUAUGGCUACCAAUGCUUAUUAUGAAAUCAAUGUUUAUGCUAGUAUGAUUUUUGCCUUCCCCGGCAAUGGCGCCAGAAAUGCUUGUUGGCAUUUCUUAGCGUUGCUACUAAAAAUAGACCAUAGAUCCAUCCUUAGCAGCUGUCACAGAACCGACCAAAUUAUAAGAGUUCAAGUGUAGAAACGAUCAACUAGCAAUCAAGUUUCCAGACUUGAGCCCAUAUAAUCCUGGUAGUCAACUGAAAUCACGAAGGACUUCAAACCAACUUGCAACAAACCAAGAUCGUAAUAGUUCAACAUAAUACAGCGAAUGUUACAUAGUCAACCAUUGCCAACGAAGCGGCACCACAUCGGAGUUACUUAGUUAUUACAACACAAGUUUUGGAGUAGCGGAAGCAAAAUAGUUUACACACACACAUUUCAUAAUUUCUUGUUACUGCCAGAGUCUCAUCUCAUCCACCAAAAGCAUCAAGGUACAAAGUCGUUAGAGGACCGUGGCCAACGGUUUAGUCCUCAUCCCUAGCGGGAUGGAGACAGGUCUUGCAGAAGCCAUCAUAAAAGACAUCAUCUACAACAGGUGGGAAUAAACCCUGAGUACGAGGAUGUACUCAGCUAGACUUACCCGUCUAGUGAAACAUAAAGACAAAAAGGAUCAUGCAAGGCCGAGUAUAAAGUGUAGCUGGCUUGACUCAACAUUUGCCAAAAGCUUACGUGGAUACUACAUCAUUUGUAAAGGCAUCAUAUUAAUCAUCAUUAGCCUACCACUAGAUUAGUACCUGGACUAAACACUUCACUUGAUUAUUACAAGCAAUAAUAACCAUACCAAGUUCAUCAUAUGUUCUUCCUUGCUAUCAUCAACAUCAUUAUCAAGAACCAUUGUACUUAGUGAAUGCUAUGGUUGCCGCUGCUCUGUCAAGUUCUCACUAUCCGGGAGAGACGGCGAUUCGAAUCAAUUCCUAUCCAGCUGGAGGGUUAUUCCUAGCACUCACCCAAGCAUCCCCCGUCGGAGAGCAAGCGGGCCACCUUUGGUAGGACUCAGGAAUCGCGGCUCCGAUCAGCGCCGCACUCCCAGGGCUACCACUUUGCCAGGGAGGUCAGGACUUUUAACUCACCUGCCUUUGGUCUUAAGCCAAUGGUCCCCCACACACCGCACUUCCUCCGGUAGUGCGCACUUUAUACUUGCCGGUCUUCCAGCCUAAGUCAUACUACUAGGCUUCGCGGUCGGAACGAGUUAUCUAGCCAACUAAGUGUCAGGCAUGCGUUCAACAUGACAAGAGGACGUACAACGAUCGGUCCUUAACUGCCACAGACGGAGUUACUACAGCCUUGCAAAACUCCGCCCGGCUUAAGUCAUUUUAAUCAGGUUAUUUCCCACGAUAGCACAUAUAGUCAAUCGUGAUCCGACACAACCCUAUUUCGCGCAGGUGACAGGAUAUCACCCGACUUCUAUCGAUUAAAGCAUGGCUAAGCUGCUACUCGAUCCUAACUCUACAACCAGGUAGUGGUAAGAUAUCUGGACAAGAAAAGGGUAUAAUGCAGCAAGGGUUUCAUCACAACUCCUAUACGUAAUGCAUCAAUAUAUAUAACUUAAUCAAGUAUGAUUUCAAAAAUUAAAGUGGGAGACUUAAGAUGCUCCAGGGCUUGCCUUUCACAAAUGAGGCUGGCUUGUGAUUAGGGCACUCGACCUCCUCUUCGGGCUCCUCUUGUCCGGCUGGCUGGACCUCCGCUUCCUGAGUGAUCUCCGGGCCAUCGUGGAUCGCUUGAUUGAGCUUGAACGAGACUGCCGCUUCCGGUGCACCUAUUGCAUCCACGAUGAGUAAGAAUGUGUGCAUACUAGAUGAGGAUGAAUGCUUGGUAGCAUGAUUAGAACUUCACUGGACACUCAUUUAUGGAAUAACUCCCAUAACAAGCUCACAAAAGAUGACUAACUAACUUAGCAAGAUUCAUCAAGUUAAAUCAUAAACAGGAACAACCAAAUAACAGGGCAGCUAAAAGAAGCAAUCAUAACUAAAUCUAUACAGAUCCAACAAACAUGAAUGAGGACAUUCUGGAAAGCUUAUGAAAUUGUUUACAUUUCAUCUUUAGAUAUCAUAGCAAGAUUAACAAGUUAAACAGGUCAAUUAAACAAAGUCCCAGGUUCUGUCCCAGAAAAACUGAGAGCACCUAGUUCUGGAACUCAACUUGGAAGAGCCAUAACUUUUAAACUAUUGGUCCAAAUGAUCCCAAAUUUGAACUGUAGAUAGCUCACAAAGUUUACAACAUCUUUGGUUUAGACAAGUUAGUCAGAAAACAAAGUUAUCAUCAAGCAAAGGUCAGAUUACUCCCUUGCUGUCCAGAACAGCUAUAAACCUUUAAUUAAUUAUUUGAUGACAUAGCAGAAACAUAUUUAGUGUCAACCAAGUGGCUUAGAUGCACAAGCAUAACCUAAGAUUACCAGAACAUCACAUGUUGACCCCUAAACAUGCAAUAACAAUGCAUUUAUUAAUUUAAUUCCAUAAAAGGACAUAAUUACAAGAUACCAGCAAGAGUGCUCAGAAAAAUCUACAAAAAUUACUGAAGCACAAGCAUGGCAUCUGGACAUUACCAUAAAAUUUUCAGAGCAAUUGCACAUGCCAAACUUAAGAUAAGUAGUUAACAAGUAACAAGGUGCUUAUUUCAUAAAUUAAGAAACAUAGCUUAGAUAGUGUCAAACAACAAAUUUCAGAUUAUUUACAUGUUACUACUACUAUAAACAAGCUUGACACCAAAAGAGAACACCAGUGUUGACACCGUUUUUGACACGUGCCCAGGAUCGGUAGAGUAUAGAUCAGCAAGAUAAGGCAAUAGAAACUGGUUUGCAGGGGAGUUGCCGAUGAGGGUGGUUGCCGAUGAAGGGACGGCUGAAUAUGACUAAGUCCAUGUGUGGUGACGCGUUCAUGAAAAAAGGUCAGCGUUAACCUUUGUCGAUGGCUACGAUGAAGAGUCUGCCGAUGAUUUGGAAGGAGAACCUAAAGGUUGCCGAUUGGUCCAUGGUGGUGUCCCAGUUUGUUACGGCAGGAUAGUUUGUGUUUUCCUUAGUUAUUUAAAUCGUUUUGUAUACGGAUUCUGUUUAAUUUGGAAUUCGAGUCCUAGUCGUGUCUGAUUGUAGCUCUUUGAGUAGGGUAUAAAUGUAGACCAUGGAGCCUUGUAAUAAAAUCGAUCAAUCAAUCAAACACAAGUUUUUACUCAUAUUCUAGCAUCUACUUUUUCCAACGACUUCGUCAUAUUUUCCUUUUUCAUUACGAGUUCUUAGGAGUUCGUCGAAUUAAGCUCGGCGUAUUCUCGAGUUCCGUGUGAAUACCUCUUGGCCGUGACAUCCGGGCGCAUCGCUGUUGUCGGGACCAAAGUAUUCGAGUUAUCACCUUUGCCGAUAGUAAGGUCAAAUCGGCUGACACGCCUUAACGUUUAAAUCGGGUAUUAGCCCUUUGUGUUUGCAGAUCAUCUUUUGCAUCAACAACCAGCAUAAGCAUCAAACAUUUAUUAUGAUUUAAAUAUGAGAACAAGCCAUAGUACCAACAUAAAUUACAUAUCAGAGACACAACACUCCAAAAAUCAUGAAAUAUUUAUCAGAGCAUUCUAAUACUACUCAGAGCAUAGCACAACAAAAGGAGCAGUAUAUCAAAAGAUAUGAAUUUACACCUAAUUAACAAGAUUAAAUCAUAACAAUUAUUUUUCACAGAAAACAUGGUGCCUAUUAUAUUUUUAUUAAAAACUAGACUAUCUGAGGAACUCAACAAAAUUUGGAUCACCUCAAGAGGAUUUUUCAAACUCCAGAUAUGAAUUUUCCAAAAACAGCACAAACCCAAAAUUCAAACUAAGGAGAGAGAGAGACUGACAGGGGGACCCCACAGGUCAACGGACCCCACUCGAUAGUGACCCGAGAACAGAGGCGAGGCUUGACCGCCGGAAAUCUCGUCGACGGCGAGGUCUCGGCGACGGCCAAGGGCACCAACGUGUUUCCCACUCUCUUCCGCGACGACUGGUACUAGAAACCCUAACUCUACCGCACCCUAAGGACCUUGCCCUCGCGAAUGGCGGCAUGGCGGUGGUGUGUGGCCGACCGCCGGCGUCUCUGGUUGGAGACCGGGCGAAAGAAGAUCCCGACGAGCAUCAGCACGACAAGGCAAAGCUUUUGGAACAAGAACGAGAAGGAAUGGUGGACUACAGAGCCCUGGCCACGACACCGGUGACCACGGCGGAGCUCCGGCGAGGUGAGCUCACGACGGAGGGGGCAAUGCGGGGAUAUUUGGGAACGCAAUAAUGAAUUGAUCCACAAGCGCACGGAUAUCGGUGAGCACUUCACCCGGGAGGUUAUCCAGAGUAUCGUAUUUAUUUUUUUACCACUAGGAGAAAGAGUGCAUCUGACUAACCUGGUCUAUUCCUACUAACCUUUAGGCUACAAAGAAUGUUUCUCGAUAUGAGUGAUAAAUAGAGAAGACUACAAUCGUAAUCUCCUUCUAACCUUGGUAAGGAUGAUCUACUGUUCUAUUGGGGAGGCUAACGGAAUCUAGACACCACAGAGGAUGUUCAACCCGCACCUAUAAACUCUAUCCUUCCUGCUAACGAGAUAUGGUCUGCAAAGGUAACUCAGAAAUGUCACGUUCCUCGCUACUACCACGGUCUAGCUAGUCAGAGAAUAUCUAUGAGUAUCCUAGCCCAAACACCAUGUCUACGCUAGAGAUGAUUACUCUAAACUCUACGCGAAGAGAUUAAAGUAAACUCAUAAACCAAAGAACAAUAAAACAAGAACUUACUAGAAUUUUGAAGUCGAAAUACUGAAGAAUCCAAGGAGCAAGCUUCGGGUUAGGAGAACUUGAUCCCACAGAUACAACCUCAGAGUAGACACCAACAGGCCGGGCUUCCUCCGAUCUACACCUCCACUCUCUCUCUCUCAAUCUAGUAGAAACUAGAAGAUCUAUUUCUACUCACAUUGGAUGCUAAGCCUAAAAGAAAUUUUAUUUAGAGGAGAGGUAUUCCUUCGAGGGCUCCUCUCAACUCUAUGAUGAACUUGUCUCCUCCAGGGGCCAGGGGGUCUGGUUUUAUAGUCCCCUCAGGUGAACGUGAGCCGUUGGAUCAAACCGACAUUGAUUGGAUGGUUAUCCUUGAUCCUUUAGGUCAGUGGAGCAUCGUCCGCGAAAAGAGUCCUGAUUGGAAUCCAAGAGGGGGCGGGCGCCCUGGGCCAGGCCCCUUUCGGCCUCCGCUUUGUUCUCGUGGCUUCUGGAGUCUUCUAGAUGGUAGAAAAUUGCGCGGUGCGUUGAUAUCUCUAUGUAAUCCCGACAUGUGGGCCUUUCUUCCUUAUUUCCUGAUAACCCCCUGCAGAAAUAGAUAAACAACAAAACUCAUGGAAUUCUGUCAGAUCAAACCCUAAUUCUAGGUGUUGUUUGCAUAUUGGUUCUUUCUUUUGUUUAUUUGAUAAUUAAAAUUGAUACUUAAGAACCGUCAACAAAUACCCCCAUACUUAGGCUUUUACUCGUCCUCGAGAAAAGGAUGGUUAAGAACAAUAUCUGGGGUAAAACAUUUUAAAACAUUCUCUUCAUACCUGCAGGGUAUUAAAAUCCACUGUGUACUAUAGUCAGGGAAGUAUAUGGUUAAGAGUAGAGAUCCUUUCUUCACAAUCUGUCCCUUGGAGUUUUUGUAGAUUUUUGAAAAGAAAUUCAGCAUACCUUUAUCCUCAUAGGUUCUCAGAUCACUCAUUAUCUUUUUAUAUAUCUCACUGAGGCUGUUUUAAUUUGAAAAAAUUCUCAAGCAUACUUACUUUGUAUUUAUUGCGUGAUCAAAAUGGGAUCCGAGGAGAGGAAAGCCAUACUCUUAGAUCAAAGGUUUUGGAAAUUAAAAUCUUUGUCAACUCUUGCUGGCAUAUUGCUUAUUAGAGGGACCAUGGGCUAUCAUUUUCUUUCUUUUUCUCUCUUUUUUUUGAAGUGGAUACCGAGGUACCCCUAAUUCUACUGCUGGACACUUGUCCAUUUUUUCUGCGAGGUUAUCGAGCACUUGCUCCUUUUUAUUUCCUCGUAAUAUCCUUAUUUUUGCAUAGCCCAUGCCUCUAAUGCAAUAAUACUUCGGAAGAGUGAAUCUUUCUGAAUAAAUGUCUUGAUCUUAGGAGCAUGAUAAAUCUCUCAACAAGGGUCUAACUCAUUUUGAACAAACUCAAUACAGAGUAGAUAGCUUUUAUAAUUAUCAUUAAUAUUUUCAGGUUUAUCAGGCAUAUAAAACACUGAGGAUGGUAGCUAGAAUUUUUGAAUAAAUUCUCCAAGCAAUAAUGAUAUCAAGAAUAAGAAACUCAUACUCUACCAUCUCACAUUCCACAAUGACUUAAGUAACACAGGGUUUUAAAAUGAUUUUUCAAUAAUUGCAAGUUUCAAGAAAUAUCAGAGAGUGAGAUUAAUCAUGAUUAGAAACAUUUUAAUCUUUUUAAUUUAUCAUGUCGAAAACAGUAUUCUGCAUAAUCCAAGAUAUAUAUGUGUAUGUGUAAAGUGUGCAGAGUGUGUACCUGAAUCGUGGAGUGGUGUAGUCGGAGUGUGUUUGGCAUGUCGAGGGAUCUCCCCCAUACUUGUGUUUCUGCUUUCUUGCACAAAAAUAAAGUAGAGACACACAAGACAUAAUAAUAAUAAUACUCUUUAUUAAUCUUGAGGCAUUUAUUACAAAUAACUAGUAACAAACUGACGAUAAUAGUAGCAAACUGACGAUAAUAGUAGCAAACUGACGAUAAUAGUAAACCUAAACCGAAUUUAAAGAUAGAUAACUAAGAUGCAUUGCCUCAAGAUCUAAUCUAGAUAACUUAGCGGCGCUCUAAUUCCUUGAUCUUCUUAUUGGCACUAGCAAGAUCAUGCCUAAGGCCUAAUAUAACGGUGUUGUGGUUUGAGAGCUGCCUAGUGAUGGAGUUAACUGAGGACUGGAGGUCUAUGAUGACUCUGUCUAGCCUGCGAACGUUCUCAUCAAUGUCUACUAUAGUCUUGCGACGCUUAGGAGGUGUCUCAAAAGCAUUGAGAGCGUGCUUCGGGGCUGCCUUUGGAGGGAUGAAACAGACUUUGGCUACUCUAAUCCCUUCAAAGUAAGGCCUCUCCUCCUCCGUAGUGUAGGGGAUGCUGCUGAUCUCGCCGCUCCGGUUGGUCUUGACUCCAACGACCCUCUCAUUGGGUCUGGGUGGAAGGAUCCUCGUGCCGGUUGGCACCUUGAUGGUGGUCUUCGUCUUGGAUGAUGAUCCCUUGAGAAGUAGGGGUUGUGGCGGUGCGGUGAGAACUGGUUGAGCAUGGUAGGAUUGGGUGGAGCUGCGCUGGCGUAAUGGCAUGGCUUCUAGCUGUCGCUCUGUGCUGGCCGGGACGAGAGCACGGGCGUCGGGGUCUUCUUCAGGCUCCAUGUUGAGGUUGAAGGGGACGACUUCCCAAUCAUCGUGGAACUUCUCGGCCAUUGGAGCAGCGAGGGACUAAACAAGCUCUAAUUGAAGAAGAAGAGAAGGCUUGGGUGUGUUGAUAUUUGGUAACGCAAUUAGAAAAUGAUCCGCAAGCGCACGGAUAUCGGUGAGCAUUUGACCCAGGAGGUUAUCCAGAGUUAUCGUAUUUAUAUUUUUACCACUAGGAGAAAGGGUGCAUCUGACUAACCAAAUCUAUUGCUACUAUCCCUUUAGGCUACAAAGAAUGUCUCUCGAUGUGAGUGAUGUAUAGAGAAGACUGCAACCGUAGUCUCGUUCUAACCUUAGUAAGGAUGAUCUACUGUUCUAUUGGGGAGGCUCACGGAAUCUAGACAACACAAAGGAUGUUCGACCCGCACCUAUAACCCUACCCGUCCUGCUAACGAGAUGUGAUCUACAAAGGUAAUUCGGAAAUGUCACGUUCCUCGCUACUACCACGGUCCAGCUAGUCAGGGGAUAUCUAUGAGUACCCUAGCCUAAACACCACGUUUACGCUAACAAGUGAUUACUCUAAUACUCAACCGGAAGAGGAUUAAAGUAAACUCAUAAACCAAAGAACAAUAAAACAAGAACUUACUAGUACUAGAAGUCGAAUUACUGAAGAAUCUUAGAAGCAAGCCUCGGGUUAGGAGACUUGAUCCCGUAGGUACAACUCGGAGUAGCCACCGACAGGCCGGCCUUCCUCCGAUCCACACCUCCACUCUAUCUCUCUCAAUCUAGUAGAAACUAGAAGAUCUAUUUCUACCUUACAUUGGUUGCUAAGCCUAAAAAGAAAUAUUAUUUAGAGAAGAGGUUUUCCUUCGAGGGCACCCCUCAAUCUCUAUGAUAAUUUCUUGUCUCCUCCAGGGCCAGAGGGGGUCUCCUUAUAUAGUCCUCCCCUUCUAUGCGUUUUUGGGUCGAUAGGCGAGGUGGUACUAUGUUAUUCUGGAUCCAAUAGGUCGGUGGAACGUCGUGUGCGAAGAGAGUCCAGAACGGAGUCCAGAGGGGGGCGGGCGACCAGGUCCUCAGGGCGGGCGCCCUGGGCCUGGCCCCUUUCGGGCUCCGCUUCCUUCCCGUGGCUUCUGGAGUCUUCUAGAUGGUAGCAAAUUGCGCGGUGGGUUGAUAUCUCUAUGUAAUCCCGACAUGUGGGCCUUUCUUCCUUAUUUCCUGAUAACCCCCUGCAGAAAUAGACAAACACCAAAACUCGUGGAAUUCUGUCAGAUAAAACCCUAAGUCUAGAUGUUGAUUUCAUUUGGAUCCUUUUCUUUGUUUAUUUGAUAAUUAAAUUUGAUACUUAAGGACCGUCAACAAACUCCCCCAAGCUUACCUCUUGCUUGUCCCUGAGCAAGGAUAGACUCAGCUAUGGAUCAUAAGUUGUUGCAAUAUCUUUAAAAAUUUGACGGUACACAUGCUUUUAAAUAAGAUCUCAUCUCUGAGUUAGAGUAAACUGUCAAGACUUAAAACUUACUUACUUUACCUUUCACCAUGGGACUUGUAACCGUCACUUCUGUCUUGAGUGGUUAAAAGAUAGAACAGUCCAGUCAAGUGCCAUGUCGCUUAUUCUUGAUUAGCUAUAGCUCUGGAGUUUUUGCAGAUUUCCAAAUAAAACUCAGAGAUUCCUUUGUAUGACUCUCUCAUAUCUCUCUUUUGUGGUAUUUCUGGAUCCUUACCAAGGCAGUGAUGGUAUAUGCCUUCUCUCAAGAUAUGUAGUAUUUGUGGUAUGAAGCAUAGUGACAUUGUCCUCUCUCUCACCCUACUCUAAUAAGGCUUUAAUAUCUGGAGCUUAUUGGUGGGAGAUAAAGUAUACAUACUUACAAGACAUUUAUUGCAUAGUCAAACCAUGGAUCCAAAGAAACAAAUCAAUAAGCCAAAUCAAGAUGUGCAUGUGUGGCGAAUGAAUGGUGUAUGGUGAUGAUGGUGAUAACAAUGGUGGUGGAAGUCUAAUUCUACAUUGCUCUUUGAGGGGAUACAUACCUUCCUUGCUUUUGAAACUUUAUGAGGAGAAUGAGAUGCUCUUCUUCUCUGUUUUUUUUCUUUUCUUUCGAGGUUCCGAGCACUUGCUCCUUUUUAUUUCCUCGUAUCUUUUAUUUUCUUUUUCUCUCUUCUCUUUUUUUUUCAGAGCAUUCAUCUCUUGAGAUAAUAUAGCAAGUGGUAGUAACAAGAUAACUUGAGCAUUUAUUUCACAAGGGGAAACAGAAAUAUUUUUGGUUAUUCUCUCCCGGAUUAGGAGUAGAAUACUUUUGGGUGGUUUUGGAGAUGGAAAUGAGUGGAUAUAUGUGGAUGGUAGUUCCGGAGUAGAAGUAGCAUGUAUGAGUGAACGUGCAAGUGAAUCUUGAUUUAACCACAUGACAAGCUCCUAAGGGUCUACACAGCUUGACCACACUCAAUGCUCAUAAGCAGUAAAUAGUAAAUGUGUGGCUCAAGGUCUAGCAAGCAUGUAUAUAUGGCUGUGGUAGGAAUUUAAACUCUCAUCAUACAGGAACUCAUCAUGUGUUAUUUUAAAGAUUUUUCAAAGAUAAAAAUUCUCCAGAAUUCUAGCAUCUCUAGGAACAGAUGAACAGCAGCUCAACCUUCCCAUAUCGUAUCCGUUAACAACUUAGACUUCAGAUCAAGUUUUCAUCCCACAAGUUUAGGUCUAGAGCAAGCCUUAAAUUAUAACAGUUAUAUCUAAACUUGAGAGAGAACUUCAAAUUUGCAAAUUAGGCAGAGCAACUAUUCAUCAUAUCCAUGCUUAAGUUUUAUUAGAUACCGAUUAGCAUAACCACUUUAUUUAGUUAUUAAACACACUAAGCAAAAUAUAUAUAAGCAUAAAAUCUUUAUUUGGUUUUUCAUAGUUAUGUGUAUUUAUAUUCUAAUAUAGUAUAAGUAUAAAGAUAGAUAGAAAUACUUAUCGAGAUAAAUGGGGGUGCUCUCCCCCAAGCUGAAUUUUGACGUAAUUUUUCUUGAUGUAGCUAGUAGGUGGCAGAGGUGUAUUUGAAAGUCAGUAGCAUUCUGACAGCGAUUAGAAUGUCCUCCGUCUCCCAGUCUUCUUGAUUAUUAAAUUCUGUGGAGCUCAAAUAGACAACAAAGCUUGUGGAACUGAUUAAGUGUUAGCAUAAAUAUCUAGCCUUUAUCAUGUUGAGACUCCUUAAUAAAUUUUACUCCCUGUUUUUUAUAUUUUUAUUUUAUAAAGCAGAAAAAUAUUUAUUUUAUUUUUAUGCCACCACAGUGAAUGUACUUAUGGGUUUUAUGCCACUCGUCUACUCACAUGGGGCUUACUGUUUUUCACAUUUUUAUUUUCUUUUUAAGAUAGUAUGAACAUGAUUAACUAAGUAAACUAUUUGAAAUAAUUGAAAGAGAAAAAAUAACUACCAAGUUUACCUCUUGGCAAGGCGUUCGGUGUUUUUGAGUCCUCCGAACGGGACUCUCCAAUUUCUUAAUUGUCCUGAGGUUUGUUGGGUGGCGUAGUCAGUACUUCCGGCAGUGCCUCCUCUUCUUGUAUAGUUAUCUUCAUUUUCCACACCUGACUUGGUGCUUCAAUCUCCUCUGGAUAAUUCUAUUUAAACUCUACGUCUUCUGAUCUUACAACUUCUCCUUUAUAGUCUGCCCAUCCGUCCUUGAUGAUCUGCCUCCUCUUCUCUGAGGGGAAGUGCAUAUGGACUUCUAAGGUUCCAAUGUAGAUAAUUGCUUUAACGGUGCUGAGGAACGGUCUUCCAAGGAUGAUGGGUGGAUCAUACUCGUCUUCUCCCAUGUCAAUGACCUGAAAAUCAUCUAUAGCUGAAUGUAUAUUUGUUGUAGGGGCAUGGUUUCAUGCAGGAGCUGAUAAGUGACUACGGCCAUUAUGUUGACGUCAGAUCCGGUGUCGUAGAGUGUCUUCUGAAAAGAGUAUCUGUUGAUUGUGCACUCAAUGCUUAGAACACCAGGGUCGUCCUUCUUGAUCAAGAAAGGUGACUUGAGUGGACGAUCUUGACCUCCUUGAAUUGCAGUGACCAUCUUAGCUGACUCGGUCCACAUUUGCUUGUUCCUGUUCCUCCUGUUCGUCCUCUUCCUUGGUUCAUGUCGGGGUUGCUCUGAAGUUUGUGUAGUCUUGUUCUUGAAGGAAAGUCUCCUUCUUCCCCUUGAUGUAGAGACUGAUCUUGGCAGCAUUAGCGUAGAUGACAGCUCUAGUGUUUAGGAAUGGCCUCCCUAAGAUGAUGGGUGCCCUCUCCUCAGUACCAGUUUCUAUCACCAUGAAGCCUGCUAGAGCAUACAAGGUACCAACUC